rnacentral:rRNA from 1 species
GACGAACGCUGGCGGCGUGCUUAACACAUGCAAGUCGAGCGGUAAGGCCCUUUCGGGGGUACACGAGCGGCGAACGGGUGAGUAACACGUGGGUGACCUGCCCUCAGCUCUGGGAUAAGCCCGGGAAACUGGGUCUAAUACCGGAUAUGACUUCAUGACGCAUGUUGUGGAGUGGAAAGCCUUGUGCGGCUGAGGAUGGGCCCGCGGCCUAUCAGCUUGUUGGUGGGGGAUGGCCUACCAAGGCGACGACGGGUAGCCGGCCUGAGAGGGCGACCGGCCACACGU